rnacentral:rRNA from 1 species
GCAUCGAUGAAGAACGCAGCGAAACGCGAAAUGUCUUGCGAAUUGCAGAAUCCGUGAAUCAUCGAAUCUUUGAACGCAUCUUGCACCUGAUGGUAAUCCGUCAGGUACGUCUGGGUGGGUGUUGUCAACAAAACUACUGUCAUUGACAGUUCAGUUGACGAGUGCGGCGACGACUCGCCGCCUCGUUGAAAUGACGAUCAGACAACCUCAACACGCCUUGUGUGCAGGCACACGCCAACCGACAAGAUGGAAGCAUCGGCUGUCGACGGCGCGUGCGUGCAGCCGCGAGGCAGUUCUACAGCCCCACCUCAGACGAGACUACCCGCUGAACUUAAGCAUAUCAAUAAGCGGAGGA